GCCAUCAGAGCCAAAACAAUGUUAAUGACCAUGAUUAUUAAAACCAAGUUCGCAGUCUUCUUAGCUGAGAAAAUGUUGCUCAUCUUCGUUCUCGUAGCUGAGACCUAAAAAACAGAGGCUCGCAAAAUUAGUUAGAUGUUUUUUGCUUGGGAA